rnacentral:rRNA from 1 species
UACGGGGGGAGCAAGCGUUGUUCGGAUUUACUGGGCGUAAAGGGCGCGUAGGCGGCCACCGCAAGUCGGUUGUGAAAUCUCCGGGCUUAACCCGGAGCGGCCAAGUGAUACUGUCGUGCUAGAGUGCGGAAGGGGCUACUGGAAUUCUCGGUGUAGCGGUGAAAUGCGUAGAUAUCGAGAGGAACACCUGCGGCGAAGGCGGGUAGCUGGGCCGACACUGACGCUGAGGCGCGAAAGCCAGGGGAGCGAACGGG